rnacentral:rRNA from 1 species
AUGUUGUAUGCAAUAAACAUUGCUAGCCAAAUGGGCUGUGAUAGAGUGAUGUUUGAAACAGAUUCUACACAGUUAAGAAGGGCUGUGUCUACUGAGGAAUAUGACCUGUCUGCACUAGGGGCCAUUUUCAGAGAGAUUAAAUUUCAAUUACAUGUAGGUUUUUCAGAUGUAUGUGUUGUAAACUGUUCACGAACAUGUAACCGAGUGGCGCAUAUGCUAGCAGCGUUUGGAGCAAAAUUAAACUCUGGUGCAUGUAUUACUUGGCUGGGACAAUUCCCAGAGUUUGUUCAGAACCUUGUAGCUGGGGACUUGCCCAGCAAUGAUAUGUAA